AUAAAGAUUACUCUCCCUAUAGGAAACUAUGGUUCUUUGAGAUAUGUUGUCCACACAGAUUCCACACUUGAUGCUCAUGCACACCAUCUGCACGAGAUCAGAUUCUUUUGAAAAGCAGUGUCUGGUGGGACUGCACCUACAUCUUGCACACCCUUUCACUUCCUGUGGCCAAGUAAGGCCACAACCCCCACUCAGUUUCUUCACUAACAAGAAUGCCUGGAGUAGGACACUGGUCAGCAGGAAUGAAGGGCAGGACAUGGAAUCUGUGUGGACAACAGACAGCUUGAAGAAGUAUAUUUACAGGAAGGAGGCAAGAAGGAAUUGAGCAUGAGCUGCAGCUGCCCCAUCUUUUUUACCCUUGCUUUAGGAAAGGAGAGGGCAAGAACAGUGAAGGAGUGGCUACAACUGGCACUACUAUUCAAAAUAAUCUGAUCUUGUAUGCAUGGGGCGCUUGCACCCCAAGAGUAGAAUGUGUGGACAAUCACUCGAAGAUGAAGUGAAGGCGGCCCAGUUCUCAAGCCUUUGCCCUCAGAAAAUAUAACUAGUCCUCACCUUACUAGUGGGGAGGGAAUUAAACAGAGGCAUUCUUUCGAUGUCCUGAAUGUCAGGGCCACAGGGAAGAAGAGAGAAAUCUCUGUUUCUUCAGUCCAAUGAGCCCUAUGUGAGGUCCUGGAUGACAGCUCCACUUUUGAAAAGCCAUGUUGGAACUCCGCCUGGCCCAUUCAGACAGACAGCCAGGAAGAUACUGGGGAGGCAGCACACCUGCUCAUUCUGUUUAUCAAUCACCUCCAAUGACUUAACUGUCAUAUUUACUACGGUGGCAUGUGGAGUCUGUGACAUUACUCCUGGAGAUGAGGUGGCUAUGAGUGUCAGCAGACACACUCCAUGGCUACCUCAAAGUGAGGUGUUACCCCUCAGGAUCCGCAGAAGCAUCAACUACAGAGCCUGGACACAAUACAAAGCUGCUGAAGGCUCUGUGCAGCAGACAUUGCCAGGAACCAGGAUUUGAUUCAUUGAUCUGAAACUGUAUCAUAAUAGUCACCAACAAACGUUAUCUUUUCUCAGGUGCUAGCUUUUUCAUUUUAAAAAAAACCUUCUUUGGGCCUCUCCCUGCAGCCUUUUCUUGAGAAAGACUCCCACUGGCUCCCAGGAGAGUAUUGCCAGACUGAAGAUAGCAGUCAGGCCUUCUAUUCCCUUCCACCCUAUAAUGCAUUGCUUGUCCACCCUAAAACUCCCACUGAUUUUAUUGGGUAUUGCAGGUUUGCAAGGAAUGCAGGAUCUUGCCCUUGGUGUAUAAUGUAUACAGGCAUAAAUUGUAGAGCCUGACAUUGAAUAAAAGCCUCUACUCAGCAAUUUAAAAAAAAUGGAGCCAAGAUGGCUAUAAACAUUAACAAAACAUACUAUUUCUA